rnacentral:rRNA from 1 species
GACGAACGCUGACGGCGUGCUUAACACAUGCAAGUCGAAGGGAGUGGCGAACGGGUGAGUAACACGUGCGUAACCUGCCCUUUUCUUUGGGAUAAGCCUGGGAAACUGGGUCUAAUACUGGAUGGAAUGGGCUGGGAUAGCGGCUGAUCAGCUUGUUGGUGGGGUGAUGGCUUAGCAAGGCUUUGCCGGGUAGCCGGCCUGAUAGGGUGGGCUGUCUCACUAGGACUGAGAGACGGCCCAGACGCGUACGGGAGUCGGCAGUGGGGGAUAUUGCACAAGGGAAGAAAGUCUGAUGCAGCGACGUCGUGUGGGGGUGGAAGGCCUUCGGGUUGUAAACUCCUUUCGCACGCGGAAUGGUAGUGGGUAAAGAAGCGCCGGCUAACUACGUGCCAGCAGCCGCGGUAAUAC